ACCACCAAUACUAGCUCGAUAAAAAAAUCAAUAACACUAAUAAAACUAAAGCAUUCUACGCCUCAUAGUAUAGGAGAUAGAAAAGACACAAUCAAAGCAAUAGAAAAUAGUACCGCAAGGGAACGUUGAAAAAGAAAUGAAACAAACCAUGAAAGUACAAAAAAGCAUGGACAAAUACCAGUACCUUUUGCAUCAUGGUCUAGCUAGUCAACCAAAGGCAAAAAGACUUUUAGUCAAGUUACCCGAAACUAAAUGAGCUAUUUAAAAGCAGCCUAAACAGUGCCAAUCCGUCUCUGUGGCAAAAGAGUGGAAAGACUUUUAAAUAGAGGCGACAUACCUAACGAAUUUAGUGAUAGCUGGUUGCCCAAUAAACGAGUUUUAGCCCAACCUUAAAUCUUAUAUAAAUUACAUCAAAUAUUAAUAAAAACUUAAGAGCAAUUCAACAGAGGAACAGCCCUGUUGAAAAAGGAUACAACCUACAACAACGGGUAAUGAUUACACUAGAUAAAGAUUAAAUACAACGUAGACUUAAAAGCAGCCACCAGUAAAGAUAGCGUCACAGCUCACCACAAUAUUAAAUCAAUAAUACUAAUAAAUCUCAUCAAAACCCUAAAAAUUAACUGGGCCGCACUAUAUAAAACCUAUAGCCAAGUAUAUACUAGAACUAGUAAUAAGAAAACACAAUUUUCUCCUUGCACCAGCAUAAACCAGAACGAAUAAAUCCCUGGACAUUACCGAUUUAAACCCUACUAAAUAAAAUUAGCUAGAUUAAAUACCUAAAACAACCGUUAACCCAACACAGGAGUGCAACAAGAAAGACUAAAAGAUAAAAAAGGAAUUCAGCAAACACAAGUUCCGCCUGUUUACCAAAAACAUCACCUCUAGAAAAACACGCAUUAGAGGCACUGCCUGCCCCAUGAAAUUAAACCAUUAAAUGGCCGCAGUAUUCUGACUGUGCAAAGGUAGCAUAAUCAAUUGUCUUUUAAAUAAAGACUAGUAUGAAUGGCAAAACGAGAACUUAACUGUCUCUUUUAUUAAGUCAAUGAAACUGACCCUCAGGUCAAAAGGCCUGAAUAUAAUAAUAAGACGAGAAGACCCUAUGGAACUUAAGAUAUAUUAGUCAUUUUAUAAUUAGACAUUAAACUUGAUUAAACUGUCUUCGGUUGGGGCAACCACGGAGAAUAAAUAUCCUCCGAGAACACUAGACUAAGUUCGACACAACAAGAUCUUACCAUGGUACCCAUACGACCCAAUAUAAUUGGACAACGAACCAAGCUACCCUAGGGAUAACAGCGCAAUCUUCUCCGAAAGCCCAUAUUAACGAGAAGGCUUACGACCUCGAUGUUGGAUCAGGAUAUCCAGACAGUGCAGCCGUUGUCAAAGGUUUGUUUGUUCAACAAUUAAAAUCCUACGUGAUCUGAGUUCGACCGGAGUAAUCCAGGUCAGUUUCUAUCUAUUCAACCAAUCUCUUUAGUACGAAAGGACCAAGAGAACUGGACCAAUGAUAAUAUUAAGUCCUUAAAACACAUGUGAAAAAUAACUAAAUACUAAAACCACCUAAUACCUAAAAAUAAAAGGUCU
rnacentral:rRNA from 1 species